CCCUUAGAUGUUCUAGGCCGCACGCGCGCUACACUGUUCGACGCAGCGAGUCUUAACCUUGACCGAAAGGUUUGGGUAAUCUUCAGCAAAGUCGAACGUGAUGGGGAUCGAUCAUUGCAAUUAUUGAUCGUGAACGAGGAAUUCCUAGUAAGUGCAAGUCAUCAGCUUGCGCUGAUUACGUCCCUGCCCUUUGUACACACCGCCCGUCGCUACUACCGAUUGAAUGGUUUAGUGAGAUCUCUGGAUUGACGCUGGCUAGGGGGCGACCCUUGGCCAGACUGUUGAGAAACUGCUCAAACUUGAUCAUUUAGAGGAAGUAAAAGUCGUAACA
rnacentral:rRNA from 1 species